AACGAACGCUGGCGGCAUGCCUAACACAUGCAAGUCGAACGAGACCUUCGGGUCUAGUGGCGCACGGGUGCGUAACGCGUGGGAACCUGCACUUAGGUUCGGAAUAACUCCCCGAAAGGGGUGCUAAUACCGGAUAAUGUCUUCGGACCAAAGAUUUAUCGCCUUUGGUUGGGCCCGCGUUGGAUUAGCUAGUUGGUAGGGUAAAAGCCUACCAAGGCGACGAUCCAUAGCUUGUCUGAGAGGCUGAUCAGCCACACUGGGACUGAGACACGGCCCAGACUCCUACGGGAGGCAGCAAUGGGUAAUAUUGGACAAUGGGCGAAAGCCUGAUCCAGCACUGCCGCGUGAGUGAUGAAGGCCUUAGGGUUGUAAAGCUCUUUUACCCGGGAUGAUAAUGACAGUACCGGGAGAAUAAGCUCCGGCUAACUCCGUG
rnacentral:rRNA from 1 species